CCGCUGAAAGCAUCUAAGCGGGAAGCUCGCCUCAAGAUGAGGUCUCCCACCACCUUGUGUGGGUAAGGCCCCCUAGAGAUGAUGGGGUUGAUAGGCCGGAAGUGGAAGCGCAGUAAUGUGUGGAGCUGACCGGUACUAAUAGGCCGAGGACUUGACCAUA
rnacentral:rRNA from 1 species